UGUGGGAGCGGGCUUGCUCGCGAUCCAGGCGCUGCGAUCUGUCAGGUAAACCGCAGUGAGGCCAUCGCGAGCAAGCCCGCUCCCACA
rnacentral:misc_RNA from 1 species